CCCGAGAUCAGGCUCUGGAUCCGCCACUGACUUGAACCUGGGUACUUUGCAAUCCUGGACCUGCUUUUUUGCCUCUGAGCCACUAUACAGCUCUAGUAUUGCCUGAAGUAUAAUCUUGCCUUGUAUCCAGCACUGGGGGCUGGACGUUAUUCUGUGGCUGCUCCAACAUUCUCAGCACACUUGUGGCUGAUCACCAAUUAGCCAGGUAUAAGACACUGCCUCUCCC